AUUGAACGCUGGCGGCAUGCCUUACACAUGCAAGUCGAACGGUAACAGGUCUUCGGAUGCUGACGAGUGGCGAACGGGUGAGUAAUACAUCGGAACGUGCCUAGUAGUGGGGGAUAACUACUCGAAAGAGUGGCUAAUACCGCAUGAGAUCUACGGAUGAAAGCAGGGGAUCGCAAGACCUUGUGCUUUUAGAGCGGCCGAUGGCAGAUUAGGUAGUUGGUGGGAUAAAAGCUUACCAAGCCGACGAUCUGUAGCUGGUCUGAGAGGACGAUCAGCGACACUGGGACUGAGACACGGGCCGAACUCCUACGGGAGGAAGCAGUGGGGAAUUUUGGACAAGGGGCGGAAGCCUGAUCCAGCAAUGCCGCGUUCAGGAUGAAGGCAUUCGGGUUGUAAACUGAUUUUGUACGGAACGAAAAGCCCUGGGUUAAUACCCUGGGGUCAUGACGGUACCGUAAGAAUAAGCGCCAGCUAACUACGUGCCAGCAGCCGCAGUAAAAC
rnacentral:rRNA from 1 species